CCUACGGGGGGCAGCAGUGGGGAAUAUUGCACAAUGGGCGCAAGCCUGAUGCAGCGACGCCGCGUGAGCGAAGAAGUAUUUCGGUAUGUAAAGCUCUAUCAGCAGGGAAGAAAAUGACGGUACCUGACUAAGAAGCUCCGGCUAAAUACGUGCCAGCAGCCGCGGUAAUACGUAUGGAGCAAGCGUUAUCCGGAAUUACUGGGUGUAAAGGGAGCGUAGACGGAUGUGCAAGUCUGAUGUGAAAGGCGGGGGCUCAACCCCUGGACUGCAUUGGAAACUGUAAAUCUUGAGUGCCGGAGAGGUAA
rnacentral:rRNA from 1 species